UGAAGGUGAUUGACUACAUGGAAUUGGCGGAAAUGACUGGCAGAAUCUGAGACCAGGGAGAAGAGUCAGUGAAAGAAGACUGGAAGAAAUUUAAAGAUUAUUUACAAAAAUAUUGUAAAAUUAAGGAAUUUUAGAAGGAUGUUGGAUAGAAAUUAAGUGGUUUCCAGCUGUAAUGCUUUAAGAGAUACGAAAAAAGGCUUACAAAUGGGUAAAAGCUUAAUGGUAAGGAUUUGCUGAACUAACAAAUUGAACUGGAAUACAAAAAGGGAGGUACGAGGAGGUCCGGGGAAAUAAGUGCAAGGAAGAUAGGUUAUGGAAAAUUAACGUGUUUUUAACUGUUUUAUUUUGUAUGUUUCUUUUUAUUUUUUACUUUUUUGUUAUAUCUUAAAAACUUUAUACUUUUUUUCUGUAUUCUGUAUUUUCCUGUAUUUUUUGAAACUUUAAUAAAUAUCAUUU